CGUGAGAUAAAGCACAUCAAAUAUGGCAGCCCUUGAGGGAGUGCUCUAAAGACUCGGUGCAAGGUGUUUGGACCACAGCCUGGCCGUGGCACAACCUGAACCUUUGCCUUUGCUCUCUGUUCAUCUGUGCCACUCAAUAACUGCUGUGAGCUGGGGGAUGAUGAUUUCUCAUCAUGGAGAAAUACGUCUUUCUGAAGGAGCGGACAAGUGAAUCUUCUGUGGGAGGAAUGUUCUCAUUUCUGAACAGAAGAGCUCACAUCAAAGUAGGCGCUGUGAGGAGAGAUCUCCAAAAGAUGUUGGGGGAAGCACAAUGGACCAUGGCGUGUCCUCGUGUCCCUGCCCUCCUGCUGCUGGUGGUGGUUGGUACUGGUGUGAACACCUGGGACAUCUGUAGCUCCAGGACUGAUGGUACUCUCCAGGCUCCAGCCCUGGUCCUUAACCCUUCCAGAGCUCAGGAAGGGGAAAUCGUCCUGGCUCAAUGUGUCCUUCAGAAGAUGGUUCCUGCUGCCCGAAUUGUCUUCUGCAAGGAUGGGAUGGAGCUGUACAGCAUGAAAGCCCAUCAGCAUACGGUCAUCUACUCCAUGCUGCUGAACAUCUCUGCAAGAAGCAGUGGGACAUACACGUGUGCAUACCAGCAGAGGAAUGAGAGCAAUUGGCUAAGGAGAUCGCCCCUCAGCACUCCCUUGGACCUACAUGUCACAGGUGGGACAUGAUGCCAGGGUUGUGCGGACGCAGGGGAUGGGGGGACUGAACACCACAUAGAUUUUCUGGAUCAAGAAAUGCCACAGAGAGAAGUGGGCUCUGGAAUGGUCUCCCUCUCCAUCCCAUGGUGCAGAAAUGGGGCACUGCAGUGCCCAGGCUCAGAAAAAAAGG
rnacentral:lncRNA from 1 species